UUGCUUGGUGCUUCUUAAUUUCAUCCAUCGUAAUGAAAUUCUCCUUGUGGAUUUAUCACCUCACUCAUUAGGAAUCCUACGAGACUUUCACAUAUUGUGUCUAUUCUUUUCUUCUUUAAGAUCUUGUCUUGAAUAUUAUGCAUAUGUAAUUUGGAAAUAUGUGAAUAAUGUUACACGAACAAUUAAAUAUAAGGAGCUAGAAAAUAAUUAACUAUUAAUAGUUUUAUUUUACGUACUUCAUGUUUUUCCUGCGGCAUCAACCUGGCCUUGUGGGAUAGAAAACUGUGCAUGUUCUCACAGACGUAGUACCCACAAACUUCAU
rnacentral:lncRNA from 1 species